rnacentral:rRNA from 1 species
GACGAACGCUGGCGGCGUGCUUAACACAUGCGAGUCGAACGGAAAGGCCCUGCUUUUGUGGGGUGCUCGAGUGGCGAACGGGUGAGUAACACGUGAGUAACCUGCCCUUGACUUUGGGAUAACUUCAGGAAACUGGGGCUAAUACCGGAUAGGAGCUCCUGCUGCAUGGUGGGGGUUGGAAAGUUUCGGCGGUUGGGGAUGGACUCGCGGCUUAUCAGCUUGUUGGUGGGGUAGUGGCUUACCAAGGCUUUGACGGGUAGCCGGCCUGAGAGGGUGACCGGCCACAUUGGGACUGAGAUACGGCCCAGACUCCUACGGGAGGCAGCAGUGGGGAAUAUUGCACAAUGGGCGGAAGCCUGAUGCAGCAACGCCGCGUGCGGGAUGACGGCCUUCGGGUUGUAAACCGCUUUCGCCUGUGACGAAGCGGGAGUGACGGUAAUGGGUAAAGAAGCACCGGCUAACUACGUG